rnacentral:rRNA from 1 species
GACGAACGCUGGCGGCGUGCUUAACACAUGCAAGUCGAACGGAAAGGCCCUGCUUUUGUGGGGUGCUCGAGUGGCGAACGGGUGAGUAACACGUGAGUAACCUGCCCUUGACUUUGGGAUAACUUCAGGAAACUGGGGCUAAUACCGGAUAGGAGCUCCUGCUGCAUGGUGGGGGUUGGAAAGUUUCGGCGGUUGGGGAUGGACUCGCGGCUUAUCAGCUUGUUGGUGGGGUAGUGGCUUACCAAGGCUUUGACGGGUAGCCGGCCUGGGAGGGUGACCGGCCACAAUGGGACUGUGGUACGGGCCAGAGUCCCACGGGGGGCAAAAGGGGGGAAUUUUGCACAAUGGGGGGGAGCCUGAUGCAGCAACCCCGGGGGCGGGAAGACGGGCUUCGGGGUGUAAACCGCUUUCGCCUGUGAACAAGCGGGGGGGGCGGUAAAGGGUAAAAAAGCACCGGCUAACUACGGG